rnacentral:rRNA from 1 species
UGGGGAAUAUUGGACAAUGGGCGCAAGCCUGAUCCAGCCAUGCCGCGUGAGUGACGAAGGCCUUAGGGUUGUAAAGCUCUUUUGGCGGGGAAGAUAAUGACGGUACCCGCAGAAUAAGCUCCGGCUAACUUCGUGCCAGCAGCCGCGGUAAUACGAAGGGAGCUAGCGUUGUUCGGAAUCACUGGGCGUAAAGCGCACGUAGGUGGGCAGUUAAGUCAGGGGUGAAAUCCCGGAGCUCAACUUCGGAACUGCCUUUGAUACCGGCAAUCUCGAGUCCGAUAGAGGUGGGUGGAAUUCCUAGUGUAGAGGUGAAAUUCGUAGAUAUUAGGAAGAACACCGGUGGCGAAGGCGGCCCACUGGAUCGGUACUGACGCUGAGGUGCGAAAGCGUGGGGAGCAAACAGGAUUAGAUACCCAGGUAGUCCCUGAGCGGGCUGGCAAGGCGCAU